rnacentral:rRNA from 1 species
AUUGAACGCUGGCGGCAGGCCUAACACAUGCAAGUCGAACGAGCGGCGGACGGGUGAGUAAUGUCUGGGAAACUGCCCGAUGGAGGGGGAUAACUACUGGAAACGGUAGCUAAUACCGCAUACUAUCGGAUGAACCCAGAUGGGAUUAGCUAGUCGGUGGGGUAACAGCUCACCUAGGCGACGAUCCCUAGCUGGUCUGAGAGGAUGAACAGCCACACUGGAACUGAGACACGGUCCAGACUCCAGAGGGAGGCAGCAGUGGGGAAGAUUGCCCAAUGGGCGCAAGCCUGAUGCAGCCAUGCCGCGUGUAUGAAGAAGGCCUUCGGGUUGUAAAGUACUUUCAGCGGGGAGGCGUUACCCGCAGAAGAAGCACCGGCUAACUCCGUGCCAGCAGCCGCGGUAAUUC